UACGGAGGGUGCAAGCGUUAUCCGGAUUUACUGGGUUUAAAGGGUGCGUAGGUGGGUCUGUAAGUCAGUGGUGAAAUCCCCGGGCUCAACCCGGGAACUGCGUCCGAUACUGGAAGGCUUGAAUCCGGGAGAGGGAUGCGGAAUUCCAGGUGUAGCGGUGAAAUGCGUAGAUAUCUGGAGGAACACCGGUGGCGAAGGCGGCAUCCUGGACCGGCAUUGACGCUGAGGCGCGAAAGCCAGGGGAGCAAAGCGGG
rnacentral:rRNA from 1 species